rnacentral:tRNA from 1 species
GCCAGUGUGGCGGAAUUGGUAGACGCGCCAGACUCAAAAUCUGGUGGUGGCAACAUCAUGUCGGUUCAAGUCCGACCACUGGUACCA